rnacentral:misc_RNA from 1 species
UCAUUGACAUGCUUUGCAUGGCCGGCUCCCUGCGCCUCGGCGUGGCCAACGGUCAUGGGGCUGUCUGUCCAUCUUGCCCUUUGUUCAGCUGGUUUGCUGGCUGGGGUUGACUUUUAAUGGUUGCCUGUGCGUUUCUACCCUUGCGGAUGCGGGUAUAAGAUUUGUCAUGUCCCGAAUUACUGUUGCCUGCCAAGCCGAUGCUUAGCCGUCGGCGGGGCGGCCGAGUGCUGGCGAACUCCUCGUGCUGCCAUGGCGUGUGCGCCUUGAAAAAUGCAUCGAGUUGUUUGCCAGGUCUCGUGGAUGCCGUGCCUGUUGUAAGCAUUGUGGGCUUUGUGUCCGCAGUUGUGAGGUUGUCCCUGCAUGCGUAAUUGCUCUGUCUCUUCAUUGUGAUGCUUUUUUGAAUCUUGCAUGCAAGUUCGAGUGUUGUGUUCGAGCGAUUGAUUAACUUCUCGCUUGGGCGCUCCACGGUGACGUGCUGCUGUUCCAUGAUUGACAUCGGAAUGUUGUGAUCGG